rnacentral:ribozyme from 1 species
ACUCACCUUAAAAAGACCAAAGAAACACAAAAAGAAAGAAGGAGAAGAAAAAAAACUGGCCAAGAAGUCAUCUUCUCGACUCCAUUCGUCAACAACAUCCGUAGUUUCUCCUUCCUCUACUAUUCCCGACUCCCAAUAUUGUAAUCCUUUU